rnacentral:rRNA from 1 species
UGGGGAAUUUUGGACAAUGGGCGAAAGCCUGAUCCAGCAAUGCCGCGUGUGUGAAGAAGGCCUUCGGGUUGUAAAGCACUUUUGUCCGGAAAGAAAUCCUUGGCUCUAAUACAGUCGGGGGAUGACGGUACCGGAAGAAUAAGCACCGGCUAACUACGUGCCAGCAGCCGCGGUAAUACGUAGGGUGCAAGCGUUAAUCGGAAUUACUGGGCGUAAAGCGUGCGCAGGCGGUUUGCUAAGACCGAUGUGAAAUCCCCGGGCUCAACCUGGGAACUGCAUUGGUGACUGGCAGGCUAGAGUAUGGCAGAGGGGGGUAGAAUUCCACGUGUAGCAGUGAAAUGCGUAGAGAUGUGGAGGAAUACCGAUGGCGAAGGCAGCCCCCAUGGGCCAAUACUGACGCUCAUGCACGAAAGCGUGGGGAGCAAACAGGAUUAGAUACCCUGGUAGUCCACGCCCUAAACGAUGUCAACUAGUUGUUGGGGAUUCAUUUCCUUAGUAACGUAGCUAACGCGUGAAGUUGACCGCCUGGGGAGUACGGUCGCAAGAUUAAAACUCAAAUGAAUUGACGGGGUCAUAGCUGUUUCCU